rnacentral:rRNA from 1 species
GACAGAGGGUGCAAACGUUGUUUGGAAUUACUGGGCGUAAAGCGCGUGUAGGCGGUUCGUAAAGUCGGGUGUGAAAGCCCUGGGCUUAACCCAGGAAGUGCACUCGAAACUCACGAACUGGAGUCCCGGAGAGGAAGGCGGAAUUCUCGGUGUAGAGGUGAAAUUCGUAGAUAUCGAGAGGAACAUCGGUGGCGAAGGCGGCCUUCUGGACGGUGACUGACGCUGAGACGCGAAAGCGUGGGGAGCAAACAGG